ACGAACGCUGGCGGCAUGCCUAACACAUGCAAGUCGAACGAUGGUCUUCGGAUCAUAGUGGCGCACGGGUGCGUAACGCGUGGGAAUCUGCCCUUGGGUUCGGAAUAACAGUUGGAAACGACUUCUAAUACCGGAUUAUGUCGAUAAGACCAAAGAUUUAUCGCCCGAGGAUGAGCCCGCGUCGGAUUAGCUGGUUGGUUGGGUAAAGGCCUACCAAGGCGACGAUCCGUAGAUGGUCUGAGAGGAUGAUAAGCCACACUGGGACUGAGACACGGCCCAGAAUACGACGGGAGGGAGCAGUGGGGAAUAGAGGAAAAGGGGCGGAAGGCUGAAAAAGCAAUGACGGGUGAGUGAUGAAGGCGUUAGGGUAGUAAAGCUCUUUUAAACGGGAAGAUAAUGACGGUAACGGGAGAAUAAGCACCGGCUAACUACGUG
rnacentral:rRNA from 1 species